UUCCUGGCAGAUUAAAACUGUGUGCCGGACAGAGACUCGAACUCGAGGUCCCGAGUUCGAGUCUCUGUCCGGCACACAGUUUUAAUCGGCCAGGAAGUUUCAUCUCUGUCACAUCUUCCAUCACGUGAUAGGAUACUAUUCAGAUGCUUAAACUCU